rnacentral:rRNA from 1 species
CCUACGUGAGGCAGCAGUGGGGAAUAUUGCACAAUGGGGGAAACCCUGAUGCAGCACCGCCGCGUGAGUGAAGAAGUAUUUCGGUAUGUAAAGCUCUAUCAGUAGAGUAGACGAAAGACGGUACCUGACUAAGAAGCCCCGGCUAACUACGUGCCAGCAGCCGCGGUAAUACGUAGGGGGCAAGCGUUAUCCGGAUUUACUGGGGUUAAAGGGAGCGUAGACGGCUGUGCAAGUCUGAAGUGAAAGCCCGUGGCGCAACAGCGGAACUGCUUUGGAAACUGUAUAGAUUGAGUACUGGAGAGGCAGGCGGAAUUCCUAGGGUAGCGGUGAAAUGCGUAGAUAUUAGGAGGAACACCAGUGGCGAAGGCGGCCUGCUGGACAGAAACUGACGUUGAGGCUCGAAAGCGUGGGGAGCAAACAGGAUUAGAUACCCCAGUAGUC